UACGUAGGGGGCUAGCGUUGUCCGGAAUCAUUGGGCGUAAAGCGCGUGUAGGCGGUUCGGUAAGUCCGCUGUGAAAGUCGGGGGGCUCAACCCUCGAAUGCCGGUGGAUACUGUCGGGCUAGAGUCCGGAAGAGGCAAGUGGAAUUCCUGGUGUAGCGGUGGAAUGCGCAGAUAUCAGGAGGAACACCAAUAGCGAAGGCAGCUCGCUGGGACGGUAACUGACGCUAAGGCGCGAAAGCGUGGGGAGCGAACGAGGA
rnacentral:rRNA from 1 species